GAUGAACGCUGGCGGUAUGCUUAACACAUGCAAGUCGAACGGACUCUUCGGAGUUAGUGGCGGACGGGUGAGUAACGCGUGAGAAUCUGGCUUUGGGUUCGGGACAACCACUGGAAACGGUGGCUAAUACCGGAUGUGCCGAGAGGUAAAAGAGAAAUUGCCUGAAGAUGAGCUCGCGUCUGAUUAGCUAGUUGGUGAGGUAAAGGCUCACCAAGGCAGCGAUCAGUAGCUGGUCUGAGAGGAUGACCAGCCACACUGGGACUGAGACACGGCCCAGACUCCUACGGGAGGCAGCAGUGGAGAAUUUUCAGCAAAGGGCGAAAGCCUGACGGAGCAAUACCGCGUGAGGGAAGAAGGCUCUUGGGUUGUAAACCUCUUUUCUUAGGGAAGAACAAAAUGACGGUACCUAAGGAAUCAGCAUCGGCUAACUCCGU
rnacentral:rRNA from 1 species